AUACGGAGGGUGCGAGCGUUAAUCGGAAUUACUGGGCGUAAAGCGCGCGUAGGCGGUUUGGUCAGUCAGAUGUGAAAGCCCUGGGCUCAACCUGGGAACUGCAUUUGAUACUGCCAGGCUAGAGUAUGGUAGAGGGAAGUGGAAUUCCGGGUGUAGCGGUGAAAUGCGUAGAUAUCCGGAGGAACACCAGUGGCGAAGGCGACUUCCUGGACCAAUACUGACGCUGAGGUGCGAAAGCGUGGGUAGCAAACAGGAUUAGAAACCCUUGUAGUCC
rnacentral:rRNA from 1 species